UAAGDCUAGCGUUGAUGGAGCGGCCGAUAUCUGAUUAGCUAGUUGGUGGGGUAAGAKCCUACCAAGGCGACGAUCAGUAGCUGGUCUGAKAGGWCGACCAGCCACACUGGAACUGAGACACGGUCCAGACUCCUACGGGAGGCAGCAGUGGGGAAUUUUGGACAAUGGGGGCAACCCUGAUCCAGCCAUUCCGCGUGAGUCAAGAAGGCYUUCGGGUUGUAAAGCUCUUUCGCAAGGBAAGAHAACUCGAUCUCUAAUAUAGGUUGAGGCUGACGGUACCUUGAUAGGAAGCACCGGCUAACUACGUGCCAGCAGCCGCGGUAAUACGUAGGGUGCGAGCBUUAAUCGGAAUUACUGGGCGUAAAGCGUGCGCAGGCGGUUUUGAAAGUCAGAYGUKAAAUCCCCGGGCUCAACCUGGGAACU
rnacentral:rRNA from 1 species